AUUGAACGCUGGCGGCAGGCCUAACACAUGCAAGUCGAGCGGAUGAAGGGAGCUUGCUCCUGGAUUCAGCGGCGGACGGGUGAGUAAUGCCUAGGAAACUGCCUGGUAGUGGGGGAUAACGUCCGGAAACGGGCGCUAAUACCGCAUACGUCCUGCGGGAGAAAGUGGGGGAUCUUCGGACCUCACGCUAUCAGAUGAGCCUAGGUCGGAUUAGCUAGUUGGUGGGGUAAAGGCCUACCAAGGCGACGAUCCGUAACUGGUCUGAGAGGAUGAUCAGUCACACUGGAACUGAGACACGGUCCAGACUCCUACGGGAGGCAGCAGUGGGGAAUAUUGGACAAUGGGCGAAAGCCUGAUCCAGCCAUGCCGCGUGUGUGAAGAAGGUCUUCGGAUUGUAAAGCACUUUAAGUUGGGAGGAAGGGCAGUAAGUUAAUACCUUGCUGUUUUGACGUUACCAACAGAAUAAGCACCGGCUAACUUCGUG
rnacentral:rRNA from 1 species